CGGGUGAGUAAUGUAUGGGGAUCUGCCUGAUGGCGGGGGAUAACUACUGGAAACGGUAGCUAAUACCGCAUAAUGUCGCAAGACCAAAGAGGGGACCUUCGGGCCUCUUGCCAUCGGAUGUGCCCAGAUGGGAUUAGCUAGUAGGUGGGGUAACGGCUCACCUAGGCGACGAUCCCUAGCUGGUCUGAGAGGAUGACCAGCCACACUGGAACUGAGACACGGUCCAG
rnacentral:rRNA from 1 species